rnacentral:rRNA from 1 species
GAUGAACGCUGGCGGCGUGCCUAAUACAUGCAAGUCGAGCGAACAGACGAGGAGCUUGCUUCUCUGACGUUAGCGGCGGACGGGUGAGUAACACGUGGAUAACCGACCUAUAAGACUGGGAUAACUUCGGGAAACCGGAGCUAAUACCGGAUAAUAUAUUGAACCGCAUGGUUCAAUAGUGAAAGACGGUUUUGCUGUCACUUAUAGAUGGAUCCGCGCCGCAUUAGCUAGUUGGUAAGGUAACGGCUUACCAAGGCAACGAUGCGUAGCCGACCUGAGAGGGUGAUCGGCCACACUGGGACUGAGACACGGUCCAGACUCCUACGGGAGGCAGCAGUAGGGAAUCUUCCGCAAUGGGCGAAAGCCUGACGGAGCAACGCCGCGUGAGUGAUGAAGGUCUUCGGAUCGUAAAACUCUGUUAUUAGGGAAGAACAAAUGUGUAAGUAACUAUGCACGUCUUGACGGUACCUAAUCAGAAAGCCACGGCUAACUACGUG